rnacentral:lncRNA from 13 species
GCCUUGGGUUGGGUGCUGGCUGCUGGCUGCUGAGACGGCGGUGAUGAAGACAGUUCCUGGCUUCUGUGGAGAGCUCACAUGUUAACUGGGAAGACCACCAUCCGACAGCCAACCUCACAAACUACCUGGAAGAGGAAGACAGGCUUGAAAGGACCCAUGGCUCUCACUUUGCAGAUGGGCAUCAAGGCUCUGGAUGGUGAUUUGAGAGCGUGGCAGUCUGCAGGACAGCCCUUUUUGGAUGGAAGGUCCUACGCUCCAAGAGAGAGAAUCCGAGAUUACAGAAAUUGUGUUUUCCUGACUCAUGCCUUGGGCUGAGAGUACAUUCUUGGCUCCUGGACAGCAUCCCACAGAAGAGCUGCCUACAACGGCCCUGGCUCCCCAAGGGAGGGGCAGACCCUGGACUGGCUGCCGGAGCUUUCUGGGCUCUAAUUUUAUCCCAAUGUGAAAAGAAGGGGAUUAAACUUCCUUCCUAUUAACAUUCUAAAAUUAAAAGUGAGACACUGUUGACGGCGCCCAGCACAGGACCUGGGAGCGGCAAAAUGCCCCAUAAAUGUCACUUCCUUCUCAUCUACUCCCUGCCUUCCCAUGGAUAUGCCAUAAACAGACCUGAUUCAAAACCAAACUCUGACUCUGGCUUGCCGUGUGCCCUGACCAUGCCGCUUAGACUCCCUGAUCCUCAGUUUCUUCCUGCUGAAAAUGGGAACAUUCUUCCUUACCUGAAAGGACUGAAUAUGAUAAUAAAUGUGACUGUGUUGCACA